GCUAACCAAAUCUGCAGAUGACACCAAAUUAGGAGGGGUAGCUAAUACCCCAGAGUUCAGGGUCAGAAUUCAAACUGAUCUUGACAGAUUAGAGAAUUGGGCCAAAAGAAACAAAAUGAAUUUCAACAGAGAUAAAUGUAGGAUACUACACUUAGGCA